rnacentral:misc_RNA from 1 species
AUUCUAGAUUCUUGAUCUUAGUCUUCAAGCUAACAAUCUCUUCCCCCAGCGCCUUGAUCUCCUGUGAAUUACCAUUUUUCCCAUCAUCAAGGCUCCGGCUUUGUUUCUUAGCAGCCUCCAUUGUCUUUCUGAGUAAACGUAGCUCUCUUAUGUAAUGGUGCAAUCUAUCUAUCAUAAAUGAAAGGAAUAGCAAGAAUCCCAUGAGAG